rnacentral:misc_RNA from 1 species
GAUGAAGAACGUAGCGAAAUGCGAUACUAGGUGUGAAUUGCAGAAUCCCGUGAACCAUCGAGUCUUUGAACGCAAGUUGCGCCCGAAGCCAUUAGGCCGAGGGCACGCCUGCCUGGGCGUCACACGUCGUUGCCCCCCCAUCUACUCCUUCGGGAUUGCGGGGGGCGGAUGAUGGCCUCCCGUGCGCCUCGUCGCGCGGUUGGCAUAAAUGCCAAGUCCUCGGCGACGCACGCCACGACAAUCGGUGGUUGCGAAACCUCGGUUGCCCGUCGUGUGCGGUCGUCGCGCAUCGAGGGCUCGAAAAAAUUGUCGGGCUCCGGCUCGGCUUUCAACGCGACCCCAGGUCAGGCGGGGUUACCCGCUGAAUUUAAGCAUAUCAAUAAGCGGAGGA